GCCGACCGUCAAAAGGUACCAGAAAAAAUCUCUGAAUGCUCAGACUAAUGUCAGGUCAAUGUCAUACAAAAUCUAAAUACAAAAUCAAAUAUUAUUCAUUAUUUUAUACCGUUAAAAGCUUAAAUGAAAUACAGAAUAAACCAAACACAAUAUUUAAUUAUAUUCACUUUUUUUUGCUUGUACUGACUGCAGAACCGGGCAUAUUUUAUGACAAAUUAGUGAAACACUUCUGUCAGUAUAAAUAUAAUCCAAAAAAUUGUCAAAAACCUUACUUAAGCAAUAAAAGAUUGAAAAUAUUUAAAACACUUACAUGAUGAAACAGAAAAAAUGUUGAGCAAAAAGGUGCUAUAUGGCAGAUAGUACCCUUUUGUUUAAAUUUUU
rnacentral:lncRNA from 1 species